rnacentral:rRNA from 1 species
UACGGAGGAUGCGAGCGUUAUCCGGAUUCAUUGGGUUUAAAGGGUGCGUAGGCGGACUGAUAAGUCAGUGGUGAAAUCCUGCAGCUUAACUGUAGAACUGCCAUUGAUACUGUUAGUCUUGAGUUUGGUUAAGGUAGGCGGAAUGUGUAAUGUAGCGGUGAAAUGCUUAGAUAUUACACAGAACACCGAUUGCGUAGGCAGCUUACUGGACCGACACUGACGCUGAGGCACGAAAGCGUGGGGAUCGAACAGG